rnacentral:lncRNA from 1 species
CUGCAGUGUGCACACUGGCUGAGGGAAUCCUGCGUGAGAACGGCAGCAGAAGUGGCAGUGCCUGUGUGUCCCCUCCAAAGGGACAUUUUCUGUUCGAGCUGCUGCAGGGCCACCAGGAAAUUCAGGUACUUUGAGAAACCUAUAGGAAAGCCUUGCUGAGCAGGGAUGGUUUGGACAUUGUUUAGCUAUUCCUGUGCUGGGUGUUUUAAAUUGAAAAUGGAGUGUAAUUAAUAAAAACAAAUAAACAAACACCUUUACCUGAGUUGAUAGCAAAUGACAGAGAAUUUAGGACUGAAGGAGCCAUCUCCCCAGGCUGGAGAUAAACAGGAUCUGCUCAAAGCAGAGCUUUGUGAGGAUGCCCUCGCCAGGCUCGGUCCUUGCCGGGCAAUCUGAAUAUCGAGGCUGCUCGUUAAUCUCCAUUCCUGGCUUAGGCUGGGCUGGGCUGCUCCGGCAGCAGGCUGGGUUGCCGUAGGAACCAGGAAUUCAAGUAAAUAUGCUCAGGAAGGAGAAAUGUCUACUAAUUAAAUGCUGAUCAGAGGCGCAGACCUGCAAUGGCAUCUCCUGGAGCACUGGAUCUGCACUGUCUCACUGAGUGGCAAACUCCCCACAUUCAGCACCCAACCCAAACAAUGGAAUUGAAAAACAAAGAAAGAAGAAAAGGAGGCUGGUGGCUGCAGGAAUUGAGUCAGGAGGUCUGGGACCCUCCCGGAUACCACUUUUUAUGAAGCACUACAUGAGUUGCUGAUGGAUAAAUCACCCAAGCAUGGUUAAAGAGACCCUAAUCUCCAGAUGGUACCAGAUCCAUUUAAUUGUAUCCUCUGACCUCAUCUCACCUGAGCCUGCAUUAAAAUCAUAAUACAGUUCAAGUGUAAAAAUGAUAUAGUGUUUAUUCGUCCUGUUUAUAGGGGG